rnacentral:sRNA from 1 species
UAGACUUUAAAGGUGCUUCAAAAUGUUUACGCAUCCAUUCGCCGGAGGCAAUGUAAGCCAGCUGAGCUUGCAGCUGGCAAAAAGGAGAUAUGGAAUUGUUGGCUUGGCGCACUUCGUUUGCAUUCCAUGAUGUCAUGAUGACGAGCAUGAUGAUGAUGAUGCUGCUGCUCCUACUGCAGUAGAAUGAAUUCUGCAUUAUGUGCAGUUUUCUUUCCUGCUAGAACUCAGGCCUGUCUUUGGUUGAUGCAACUGAAAGAUAGCCAUCCUUCGCCUGCCACCCUCCCACUCCCACUACUUUAUGAACCUUCAUUUUUUUAAUGGUUACUUCAAAAAGCUGAAAAGUUCUUUUGCGUUUUUUUUUUCCCAAAGUCAACUGGUGUAAGAAAAACAUAAAGCGCGUAAUGUUGACAAAAUUUUGCUAAGGUGGCUGAGAGCAAACUGCCACUGACAGUUAUAAAAUAUUUGGAUUCAAUUAGAAAAUUGUUUGAGAAUGCAACAACAAUGGGGUCCUAUUAUCAAUUCAACAAACUGGCAAGAGGGCAUAGACAGACAGACAUCUGGGCAGCGAGAAAAGGCCAACGUAGGAGACCAGCAGCAGCUUAUUUGCAAAAUGGCAGCUUUUGUCUAGGAAACUUAAAAGUUUGAGCCAUUGUUAAGGAAUUCGAAAUAUUUUCAACAGUUUUUGUCUGGCUUCAAAAACAGUAAGCAGGCCCCCUGCAUGGAAAUUUGAAAGUUUCUUUAUGGUGGUGAAACUUGUCAAAAUUUGAAAUGUUAAAUGAAAUGAAAGAAAAAAAUCCGAUUAAAAAAUGGAUAU